GUGGUGGUGGCGGGCGGACGCUCGGGAGACUGAUUUCUUCUAUCUUGCAGGAAACCACACGGACCUCCCACGCUUCGUGCAGACCCCGAGCUGUCCCAAAAGGAACAGGCCAACCUGGAAACAUCGUUUUUUCAUCUCUGAGGAGAGGCAACUCAGGGUUUCCGAGUUCUUCGGAUUUGACAGCUCUGGAACUUUGACAGUGCUGACAUUACGUGGGCCUCGCAAUCUUCGUGACGUCAUCGAGCUGUGAAACCACACGGACCUCCCACGCUUCGUGCAGACCCCGAGCUGUCCCAAAAGGAACAGGCCAACCUGGAAACAUCGUUUUUUCAUCUCUGAGGAGAGGCAACUCAGGGUUUCCGAGUUCUUCGGAUUUGACAGCUCUGGAACUUUGACAGUGCUGACAUUACGUGGGCCUCGCAAUCUUCGUGACGUCAUCGAGCUGUGUAAAAGAACGAAGCGCAUCAGAUACCAUCGCAUUUGUUCAGCGGUGGUGGUGGCGGGCGGACGCUCGGGAGACUGAUUUCUUCUAUCUUGCAGGUUAGUUACAAAGCCUUAACAUUUCUUCUCUGUUGUGCCGCCUACCACCACCACAAAAUCGCUUUUUCGUUUUGUCGUCGUUUUGCUUUGCUUGUGGGAGCUGCGUGAUUUGAAGUGUUGUACAUUUCGGGUGUGUACUGAGAAUGGCAGCUUCUGCCUUGUGUUUAGUGUGCAAAGAGGCACUUCCCGAUCCCGGUAGUUGCCCAAUGUGCUCCGAAUGUAGCUACGGUUAUCACAUUGGACCAUGCUCAGGAGUAACAAAGUCUGCUUUUAAGACAGGCGACGAGGCAGUAAAAAAAGCAUGGAAAUGUCAAGCAUGUGUUAUUCUGGCUGCACGUGCGAACGCCGGCAGCGGGAAGUUGCAGCUGCAGCAGACAUCUGACACUGGAAAAAUACUGGCUGAAAUAAAUCGCAAGUUGUCGGAGAUACCCACCAUUAAAAGCAGAAUAGAUCAACUAAUG